CCUGGGUCUUGGGGAAAUAAAGGAAGAGCAACCAAAUGAGAAGAGCAAAGGCUGUUUAUUCAAAGCUUGCUACAGCAAGGGAGUCAGUCAGCCGUGGUCACUUGUUUUCAAAGAGACUCAAGGGCAGGCAGAGGGGUGGGUAAGUUUUCUUUAUAGCAGGAAAAAGGACAGGAUUCCGAUGUGCCUUCUCUGGAGGCUGUCGACGGCGUGGGGAAGCUGUAAGGCGGGUCCCUAGAAGCUGGGUGUCCUGUGUGACUGGCCAGGGGCGCGGAUUUGACUUUCUCUGGUUGGCCCUAAGUUGCAGUAUGGACAAAACUUAGGGAAGUUGUCAGUGCUGGCCACUUCGAGCCAAUUGUUCCAGAAAGUUAGUGUUUCGCUUUCUGAAUUGUUACUAGACAUAGUCUGCUUACAAAUGUGACCUAUGGAUCGCCUGGGUGUUUUCUUGUUGAUGACGAGUUGGUUUGCGGGUCGGAGUUCUGUUUUUCCACGUGCUCUGGCCACUGCCUGGGUGUCAAUCCCUUAGUCUACGGUGCAGAUCAGUCUCUCCGUGGCUCCUCCUUCCUUCCCUUCAACAUGCGAACAUCCCGCGGCGGUCGAAUCGUCACGUAUCUGAUUUCCCUCAUUCAGCCCCUCUCCGGCCCAGGCCUUCGCUGCGCGAAGAAUCACGGGAGGAGAAAACUGAGGAGCUACGUGGCACAGCCUCUGUCCCUGGAGUCUGCACCGACCACUGUCAACAAGCAGGGCCACGGCUCCCUCCACCGAGCCCGGAGCCACCCAGCGCUCCCGGCGAGGGGCCGGCCCCGAACGGGGCUCCUCGCCUUUCUGGACGCUCUCCCCAGAAAAACAUGCCCCCGCACACACGCCGACUCCCCCGCAGGAAAUUCAGGUACCCCCACGGGCCUUUCCACGGCAAGUGGGCGAUGGGGGAGGACUUCGGGGGUGAAUGUUUCAGCCAGGGGAUAUUCUCUAGUCUGGAACAAAAGGUCAACAAGAAGUCAAAAGACUUUGAAUUCUAAAAGACUUACUUUAUUGAGAGUUGACAUACAAUUCCGUAGCUACUUUUAUUUACUUUACAGAAAGCAGCUUCUCCGGGACGCCUGGGUGGCGCAGUCGGUCAAGUGUCUGCCUUCGGCUCAGGUCUGGAUCCUGGGGUCCUGAGAUCGAGUCUCCCGUCAGGUUCCCUGCUCGCAGGGAGUCUGCUUCUCCCUCCCCCUCUGCUCCUCCACCCCCCCCACUUGUGCUGUGUCUGUCUCUCAUAUAAAUAAAGUCUUUUUUUAAAAAGAUUUUUUAAUUCA
rnacentral:lncRNA from 1 species